GAGGGAAAAGCAGUUUCUCCACCGGAGCUCCACCGAUCUUAUCCCUUUUCACGCUCUGCUCUCUAUAAAAGCUUCUUUGUUACACAUCCUCCUCUCUCUCGAGAUGGAACACCCUCUCCAUCUUCUUUUAUCUCACCAUGUCCUCCGCACCUCUCCAAAGGGAGCUCCCCUUCUCCUUCUCCGAUCACCGCCCCUACCACGCCCUCUUCAAAGCUCCCUCCUUUCCCAACCUCUUCUCACUCCCCCGGUUCAAAGUGCUCCUCCCAUUCCCCGCAUUGAGAUUGCGAGCGAGCAACGUGACCGAGGGGAUAGCCCCAAAGGAAGAGACCCACGAGAGGAGAGCUGAGAAUGGUGCUGUGGUUGGUCGUGAGGAAAUAGUCGAGUUCAAGGGUCGGAAACAGAGGAAAGGGCUCAAAGGUAGAAGCUUUAGGCAAUUUAGAGAAAUGGGUUCUUCUGGUUUAUCUUCUAGUGAAGAUGGUUUAGUUGGCGGUGAGGAAAUUGCAGGAUUUAGAGGUCGCAAACAGAUGAAAGAGCUCAAAGAUCGAAGCUUUAGGCGGUUUAGAGAAAUCGGUUCUUCUGGGUUUUCCUCUAGUGAAGAUGGUUUUGCCGGUAGUGAAGAAAUGCUAGAAUUUGGAGGUCGGAAACAUAGGAAAGAGCUCAAAGAUAGAGGCUUUAGGCGAAAUAGCGCAAUGGGUUCUUCUCGGUUGCCUUAUUUGCGGCCUGGACGUAAAAUGGCAGGCGAAACAUUGAAAAAGGCUGUAGCUUUAAGUGAAAUUGAUGAGAAAACUGAGGAAGAGGUGGUGAAGAAGGCGAGUAAGAAAGCAAAGCUUAGUCCAGCAGCAAUUGAGCUGAGAGUUGGGUUAGAUAUGUGCUCCAAAAAAGGGGAUGUGGUGGGCGCCAUUUCUCUUUAUGAUUCGGCUAUUCGUGAUGGGAUACGAAUGGAACAGUACCAUUAUAAUGUGCUUCUGUAUUUAUGUUCCUCCGCCGCCAUCGGAGUAGUUCACCCUGCAAAAAGUGGUAGUGGUAGUAGUGGUAGUAAUAGUAGUAGUUCUAGUACUUAUGAUAGAACAGUAUCCAAUUCACAGUUUGAUGACAAUUUUAAUCUAGAAUUUGGUAGAAAUGUUUCUUCGGACGAGCAAUGUAAUAGGAAGGAUGAUAUUACAAUCAGUGAUGACGUAAAAGACUACGCACGAUCGAGGGGAUUUGAGAUCUUUGAAAAGAUGUGCUUAGAUGAAGUUCCAAUGAGCGAGGCGGCUUUAACAUCGGUUGCUCGAAUGGCAUUGUCUAUGGCUAACGGAGACUUGGCUUUUGAGAUUGUGAAACAUAUGAAGGAACUUGGUAUCAACCCACGACUAAGAUCAUAUGGCCCUGCUCUAGUGGCCUUUUGCAAUAAUGGUGAUGUCGAUAAGGCAUUUGAGGUGGAAGCACAUAUGGAGGAGUCCGGGGUCCAACCAGAAGAAUCUGAAUUAGAAGCACUUCUAAGAGCUAGUGUAGCGGCACGUAGAGGAGACAAGGUUUAUUAUGUACUUCAUAAACUUAGAACUAAUGUAAGGCAGGUGUCUCUAACAGUUGCAAAUUUAAUUGAGGAAUGGUUUAGAUGUUCGACAGCAUCAAAAGUUGGAAAAAGGAAAUGGGAUGCAAGUGUUGUAGCAAAGGCUAUUGAGAAUGGUGGAGGGGGUUGGCAUGGUUUGGGUUGGUUGGGCAGUGGAAGAUGGAAUGUGGCUCGAACUCGUGUUGAUGGAGAUGGGUUGUGUUUGGCUUGUGGUGAGAAAUUGGUGACUAUAGAUCUUGAUCCUAUUGAGACCGAGAAUUUUGCGUUAUCUGUCGCAUCGAUAGCUUGCAAGAGAGAAAGAAACUCGAGUUUUGAGAAGUUCCAAAAAUGGUUAGACUACUAUGGACCAUUUGAAGCUGUUGUUGACGCUGCCAAUGUCGGUGUUUUCAGUCAAAAGCGGUUUUUGCUAACUAAGGUAAAUGCUGUUGUGAAUGCCAUACGCCAGAAAUUUCCGUCGAAGAAAUGGCCACUAAUAAUUGUGCAUAACAAGCGGCUUAGUGGAGACAAGAUGGACGAACCCUUUAAUAGCAAGCUGAUAGAAAAGUGGAAGAAUGCUGAUGCUAUUUAUGCAACUCCAACUGGAUCAAAUGAUGAUUGGUACUGGUUGUAUGCAGCUAUAAAAUGCAAGAGCUUGAUCAUCACAAACGAUGAAAUGAGAGACCAUACAUUCCAGCUUUUAGGAAAUGAUUUCUUCCCCAGGUGGAAAGAAAGGCAUCAGGUGCGUUUCAGUUUUCAAGACGGCAGCUUCGAGUUCCAAAUGCCUCCUCCAUGUUCUGUUGUCGUCCAGCUCAGGAAUCAGCGAAAGGCCAUUGGCAUAUACCGGUAUUGAUGGCAAAUGAACCAGAGAGAGAAAGAACUUGGUUAUGUGUUACUCGGGCCAACUCACAAUCUGAAUUAAAGGAAUCAUCUGGGCCACCCAAAGCAUCACAAUCUUAGAACAUGGUGAGCCAUGCCUCAUUAUUUUCUUGGGUGGUUGAAGGCAAGAAGAUACCCAUGUGAGAAUAUGAGCUGAGAAUCUCGAAGAUAUAUGAUGGACACUGAAUUCCAUAACUACACAAAAAGUCUCAUGCGCGCAAGAGGUUAUAUGAACUGUCUUGAAGACCCAGAACAAUCUCACCAGCAGCGAAGUUAUCUGCAACACGAUCAAUUUCAGAUUCUUCUUACAUGCUCCAUGUAACACCUUUCCAAACUGUAGUAUUGUUUAUUAACUUACUAUUUUUGUAAUUUAGAUAUCAUCAAGGAUAUUUUCACUAGAGACUACCUCUAUUUCUGCUUCUGCUUCAGUUACUUCCUCCGGUGAAAUCUUUAGCCAACUUUAAAUUGUAUUCUCGACCUCCAUUUCUUAGUUGAAAAUACCCUUUAGGCAUACAUGCAGGUAUGUGAACCAUUCUGAAUGGCUUUGUGAAACCUUGUUUGUGUCA